rnacentral:lncRNA from 1 species
CCUUAAAGCAUAAAUCACAUUCAUACCAGUAAGUAAAUAGAAGCAAUCUAGGAUUAUCAACCAGUGAGUAAAUUCAGAAAUAAUGUUCAUUCUUUUAACUUAUCAACUAAAACCAUAACCUAUCAUCCCUCAACACCACAUUUUGUAAACGUGAAAUAAAAUAAAUAAAUAAAUAAAUAAAAAGUCAAUCCGGUCUAGAAUUUUUAAACCACCGUGAGACCAUCGAAACCGCAUGGCGACAACCGGAGAAGAUGAAGGAGAUACAGAUAAGUCAACCAGUUCCAGCGCCCCCAACCACCGCAAAACCGAGGUGUAACGUCAAAAACAAUCGUGCCGGAGUAUCAACUGGAGAAGAAGAAGAAGAGGCGGUGAUUCGAGGAGCCAUCCUCUUCACCCCGUCAUUAGAACCAUAGGGGUUCCACCUCCAUGGCCAAGCCACCCCCGGGUAGAGACGUUCCACCUCGCAGUCGAGUGGAUUCGAGAUCGUAAAGCUAUGACCACCACCGUAAGGGGUGUUUCUUCUAUCAUCUCCGUCGUCCUUUUACCCAGCAGCAUCCCCAUCAUCAAAAGCUCUUGGCGGCUCAAGGAAGAAGAAACCCUUUUACCCUAAUCUCCCCCAAAAUCCCAACCUGAUUUGAAGAACCCUUUAUUCACG